GCCAGGUGCAGUGGCGCAUGCCUGUAAUCCCAGUGGCUUGGGAGGCUGAGGCAGAAGAAUUUCAAGUUCAAAGUCAGCCUCAGCAACUUAACAAGACCCUGUCUCUA
rnacentral:sRNA from 1 species